rnacentral:rRNA from 2 species
ACAAUGGAGAGUUUGAUCCUGGCUCAGGAUGAACGCUAGCGGCAGGCCUAAUACAUGCAAGUCGAACGGGCGGUAGCAAUACCGCUAGUG